rnacentral:rRNA from 1 species
GACGAACGCUGGCGGCGUGCUUAACACAUGCAAGUCGAACGGAAAGGCCCUGGGUUUGUGGGGUGCGCGAGUGGCGAACGGGUGAGUAACACGAGAGUAACCUGCCCCUGACUCUGGGAUAACUUUAGGAAACUGGGGCUAAUACCGGAUAGGAGCUCCUGCUGCAUGGGGGGGGUUGGAAAGUUUCGGCGGGUGGGGAUGGACUCGCGGCUUAGCAGCUUCUGGGUGGGGUAGUGGCGUACCAAGGCUUUGGCGGGUAGCCGGCCUGAGAGGGUGGCCGCCGACAUUGCUCCUGAGAUAGGGCCCAGAAUCCUACGGGAGGCAGCAGUGGGGAAUCUUGCACAAUGGGCGGAAGCCUGAUACAGCGGCGCCGCGUGCGGGAUGAUGUCCUUCGGGUUGUGAACCGCUUUCGCCUGUGCCGAAGCGUGAGUGACGGUAAUGGGUAAGGAAGCACCGGCUAACUACGUG